UGGGGAAUUUUGGACAAUGGGCGAAAGCCUGAUCCAGCAAUGCCGCGUGUGUGAAGAAGGCCUUCGGGUUGUAAAGCACUUUUGUCCGGAAAGAAAUCCUUGGCUCUAAUACAGUCGGGGGAUGACGGUACCGGAAGAAUAAGCACCGGCUAACUACGUGCCAGCAGCCGCGGUAAUACGUAGGGUGCAAGCGUUAAUCGGAAUUACUGGGCGUAAAGCGUGCGCAGGCGGUUUGCUAAGACCGAUGUGAAAUCCCCGGGCUCAACCUGGGAACUGCAUUGGUGACUGGCAGGCUAGANUAUGGCAGAGGGGGGUAGAAUUCCACGUGUAGCAGUGAAAUGCGUAGAGAUGUGGAGGAAUACGAUGGCGAAGGCAGCCCCCUGGGCCAAUACUGACGCUCAUGCACGAAAAGCGUGGGGAGCAAAACAGGAUUAGAUACCCUGGUAGUCCACGCCCUAAAACGAUGUCAACUAGUUGUUGGGGGAUUCAUUUCCUUAGUAACUAGCUAACGCGUGAAGUUGACCGCCUGGGGAGUACGGUCGCAAGAUUAAAACUUAAAUGAAUUGACGGGGUCAUAGCUGUUUCCU
rnacentral:rRNA from 1 species